CUACGGGUCGCUCCAGGCGCGAAACCUCUUCAAUGCACGACAGUGUGAAAGGGGAAUCCUACGUGCUUAUGUUAUGCAUAGGCUUUUGCAUAGUGUAAAUAACUACGCGAAUAAGGGGUGGGAAAGACCGGUGCCAGCAGCCGCGGUAACACCGGCGCCUCAAGUGGCAAUCAUAAUUAUUGGGCCUAAAGCAUCCGUAGCCGGAUUGGUAAAUUUUCUGUGAAAUCUAUCAGCUUAACUGAUAGUCGUGCAGAAAAGACUGCCUUUCUAGAGACCGGGAGAAGUUAGAGGUAUUCUGUGGGGAGCGGUAAAAUGUUAUAAUCCUCGGAAGACCACCAAUGGCGAAGGCGUCUAACUAGAACGGAUCUGACGGUGAGGGAUGAAGGCUAGGGGAGCAAAACGGAUUAGAUACCCAGUAGUC
rnacentral:rRNA from 1 species